UUAGAUACCCCACUAUGCCCUACUAUAAACUUUUAAUUACAUAAUAUCGCCAGGGGACUACAAGCAAAGCUUAAAACCCAAAGGACUUGACGGUAUUCCAUAUCCAUCUAGAGGAGCCUGUCCUAUAAUCGAUGAUCCCCGUUUAACCUCACCAUUUUUAGCCUAUCAGCCUGUAUACCUCCGUCGCCAGCUUACCACAUGAGUGAACUCAGUAAGUUAAAUGUUCAUUCAUCAAUACGUCAGGUCAAGGUGCAGCAAAUAAAAUGGAAAGAGAUGGGCUACAUUCUCUAUUUUUAGAGUAUACGAAAGACUACAUAUGAAAUCUAGUCAGAAGGAGAAUUUAGUAGUAAAAAGACACAAGAGAGCUCUUUUUAACACGGCACUGGAAUGUGUACACACCGCCCGUCACCCUCUUCGAAACAAUUUAAUAUAGUACAUAACACAAUUUUACCUGAGAGAAGAGGCAAGUCGUAACAUGGUAAGCUUACCGGAAGGUGUGCUUGGAAA
rnacentral:rRNA from 1 species